UUUGGCCGUAACUUGACGCUGAGGAAGCGAAAAGGGUGGGGAGCAAACAGGUUAGAUACCCUGGUAGUCCCACCCCGUAAACGUUGGGAAUUAGUUGUGGGGACCAUUCCACGGUUUCCCGUGACGCAGCUAACGCAUUAAGUUUCCCCGCCUGGGGAGUACGGCCGCAAGGCUAAAACUCAAAGGAAUUGACGGGGACCCGCACAAGCGGCGGAGCAUGCGGAUUAAUUCGAUGCAACGCGAAGAACCUUACCAAGGCUUGACAUACACCAGAACACCGUAGAAAUACGGGACUCUUUGGACACUGGUGAACAGGUGGUGCAUGGUUGUCGUCAGCUCGUGUCGUGAGAUGUUGGGUUAAGUCCCGCAACGAGCGCAACCCUCGUUCUAUGUUGCCAGCACGUAAUGGUGGGAACUCAUGGGAUACUGCCGGGGUCAACUCGGAGGAAGGUGGGGAUGACGUCAAAUCAUCAUGCCCCUUAUGUCUUGGGCUUCACGCAUGCUACAAUGGCCGGUACAAAGGGCUGCAAUACCGUGAGGUGGAGCGAAUCCCAAAAAGCCGGUCCCAGUUCGGAUUGAGGU
rnacentral:rRNA from 1 species